GGAAGCAUUAGUGCAAAAAGAGGACAGAAGCAUCAUGAAGAAUAUUUGGAAUAACGUGGCAAGUAGAGGGCAACGAAACUUAUUUCAUACAUUUUGAUUUCAAGAUGCUAAUACCAGGAAUUAAGCCCUAGGUGAUAAUCAGAGGCAUUACAGGGAAGGAUCACGACAAGACACUCCUCUCCACUCUCUGACAUCGAGACAAACGGAUGACCUAGACUCGGCUAAUCGAAAGCAAACACCCCGAACCUUGAGGGACAGAAGCAAAGCUGCAGGGAAAUGAUUAAUGGAGACAGUGAUGGUAGCAGCAAUGAGCAUCUCUUGGAGAACAAACGUCUGGUGGAGCCAGGGGCAGCCAGCCCCUAACCAGGCUGUUCCUAAAGCCAUGUCUAUGGCUGCCUGGACAUCUGCCUGGUGUACAAACCUGGUUCCCCAAACUUCCCAUUGAGUCUAUGGACUACUCACAACUCCCAAUAAAUUCAUUUUGUGUUGCUUUA